AGGUUAAGCGACUAAGCGUACACGGUGGAUGCCCUGGCAGUCAGAGGCGAUGAAGGACGUGCUAAUCUGCGAUAAGCGCCGGUAAGGUGAUAUGAACCGUUAUAACCGGCGAUUUCCGAAUGGGGAAACCCAGUGUGACUCGUCACACUAUCAUUAACUGAAUCCAUAGGUUAAUGAGGCGAACCGGGGGAACUGAAACAUCUAAGUACCCCGAGGAAAAGAAAUCAACCGAGAUUCCCCCAGUAGCGGCGAGCGAACGGGGAGGAGCCCAGAGCCUGAAUCAGCAUGUGUGUUAGUGGAAGCGUCUGGAAAGGCGCGCGAUACAGGGUGACAGCCCCGUACACAAAAGCGCAUGUGCUGUGAGCUCGAUGAGUAGGGCGGGACACGUGGUAUCCUGUCUGAAUAUGGGGGGACCAUCCUCCAAGGCUAAAUACUCCUGACUGACCGAUAGUGAACCAGUACCGUGAGGGAAAGGCGAAAAGAACCCCGGCGAGGGGAGUGAAAAAGAACCUGAAACCGUGUACGUACAAGCAGUGGGAGCACCCUUUGGGGUGUGACUGCGUACCUUUUGUAUAAUGGGUCAGCGACUUAUAUUCUGUAGCAAGGUUAACCGUAUAGGGGAGCCGUAGGGAAACCGAGUCUUAACCGGGCGUUAAGUUGCAGGGUAUAGACCCGAAACCCGGUGAUCUAGCCAUGGGCAGGUUGAAGGUUGGGUAACACUAACUGGAGGACCGAACCGACUAAUGUUGAAAAAUUAGCGGAUGACCUGUGGCUGGGGGUGAAAGGCCAAUCAAACCGGGAGAUAGCUGGUUCUCCCCGAAAGCUAUUUAGGUAGCGCCUCGUGAAUUCAUCUCCGGGGGUAGAGCACUGUUUCGGCUAGGGGGCCAUCCCGGCUUACCAACCCGAUGCAAACUGCGAAUACCGGAGAAUGUUAUCACGGGAGACACACGGCGGGUGCUAACGUCCGUCGUGAAGAGGGAAACAACCCAGACCGCCAGCUAAGGUCCCAAAGUCAUGGUUAAGUGGGAAACGAUGUGGGAAGGCCCAGACAGCCAGGAUGUUGGCUUAGAAGCAGCCAUCAUUUAAAGAAAGCGUAAUAGCUCACUGGUCGAGUCGGCCUGCGCGGAAGAUGUAACGGGGCUAAACCAUGCACCGAAGCUGCGGCAGCGAACGUAUCACCCAAGACAACUUUACGGAGUUGACGAUUGACGGAGCGAAGCGACGUCAAAGCGUUCAUUAAAGUCGAGUUGGCUUAGGGAUACGUUCGUUGGGUAGGGGAGCGUUCUGUAAGCCUGUGAAGGUGUGUCGUGAGGCAUGCUGGAGGUAUCAGAAGUGCGAAUGCUGACAUAAGUAACGAUAAAGCGGGUGAAAAGCCCGCUCGCCGGAAGACCAAGGGUUCCUGUCCAACGUUAAUCGGGGCAGGGUGAGUCGACCCCUAAGGCGAGGCCGAAAGGCGUAGUCGAUGGGAAACGGGUUAAUAUUCCCGUACUUGGUGUUACUGCGAAGGGGGGACGGAGAAGGCUAUGUUGGCCGGGCGACGGUUGUCCCGGUUUAAGCGUGUAGGUGUGUGUUCCAGGUAAAUCCGGUUCACUUUAACACUGAGGCGUGACGACGAGGCACUACGGUGCUGAAGCAACAAAUGCCCUGCUUCCAGGAAAAGCCUCUAAGCAUCAGGUAACAUCAAAUCGUACCCCAAACCGACACAGGUGGUCAGGUAGAGAAUACCAAGGCGCUUGAGAGAACUCGGGUGAAGGAACUAGGCAAAAUGGUGCCGUAACUUCGGGAGAAGGCACGCUGACACGUAGGUGAAGUGAUUUACUCAUGGAGCUGAAGUCAGUCGAAGAUACCAGCUGGCUGCAACUGUUUAUUAAAAACACAGCACUGUGCAAACACGAAAGUGGACGUAUACGGUGUGACGCCUGCCCGGUGCCGGAAGGUUAAUUGAUGGGGUCAGCGCAAGCGAAGCUCCUGAUCGAAGCCCCGGUAAACGGCGGCCGUAACUAUAACGGUCCUAAGGUAGCGAAAUUCCUUGUCGGGUAAGUUCCGACCUGCACGAAUGGCGUAAUGAUGGCCAGGCUGUCUCCACCCGAGACUCAGUGAAAUUGAACUCGCUGUGAAGAUGCAGUGUACCCGCGGCAAGACGGAAAGACCCCGUGAACCUUUACUAUAGCUUGACACUGAACAUUGAGCCUUGAUGUGUAGGAUAGGUGGGAGGCUUUGAAGUGUGGACGCCAGUCUGCAUGGAGCCGACCUUGAAAUACCACCCUUUAAUGUUUGAUGUUCUAACGUGGACCCGUUACCCGGGUUGCGGACAGUGUCUGGUGGGUAGUUUGACUGGGGCGGUCUCCUCCUAAAGAGUAACGGAGGAGCACGAAGGUUGGCUAAUCCUGGUCGGACAUCAGGAGGUUAGUGCAAUGGCAUAAGCCAGCUUGACUGCGAGCGUGACGGCGCGAGCAGGUGCGAAAGCAGGUCAUAGUGAUCCGGUGGUUCUGAAUGGAAGGGCCAUCGCUCAACGGAUAAAAGGUACUCCGGGGAUAACAGGCUGAUACCGCCCAAGAGUUCAUAUCGACGGCGGUGUUUGGCACCUCGAUGUCGGCUCAUCACAUCCUGGGGCUGAAGUAGGUCCCAAGGGUAUGGCUGUUCGCCAUUUAAAGUGGUACGCGAGCUGGGUUUAGAACGUCGUGAGACAGUUCGGUCCCUAUCUGCCGUGGGCGCUGGAGAACUGAGGGGGGCUGCUCCUAGUACGAGAGGACCGGAGUGGACGCAUCACUGGUGUUCGGGUUGUCAUGCCAAUGGCACUGCCCGGUAGCUAAAUGCGGAAGAGAUAAGUGCUGAAAGCAUCUAAGCACGAAACUUGCCCCGAGAUGAGUUCUCCCUGAGACUUAGAGUCUCCUGAAGGAACGUUGAAGACGACGACGUUGAUAGGCCGGGUGUGUAAGCGCAGCGAUGCGUUGAGCUAACCGGUACUAAUGAACCGUGAGGCUUAACCUUACAACGCCGA
rnacentral:rRNA from 1 species